rnacentral:rRNA from 1 species
CGGGACGGGGUGAGUAAUGCCUGGGAAACUGCCUGAUGGAGGGGGGUAACUACUGGAAACGGUAGCUAAUACCGCAUAACGUCGCAAGACCAAAGAGGGGGACCUUCGGGCCUCUUGCCAUCGGAUGUGCCCAGAUGGGAUUAGCUAGUAGGUGGGGUAACGGCUCACCUAGGCGACGAUCCCUAGCUGGUCUGAGAGGAUGACCAGCCACACUGGAACUGAGACACGGUCCAG